rnacentral:lncRNA from 1 species
CUUGUACAGGGAGUCCAGGAGGAGCCACAGUAGAUGGUCCAACGUUUGGAAUGGGUAAGACUUCUGUAGCGGAAGGUGAAGGAGGAGAUACAGUAGACUCCCUAAAGGCCGGUAUAGGUAAAACCUCAGAUAUAUCAAGAUGGUGAGGAUGGUCAGAAGAGGUAAAGAAAGGUUUAGACUCAAAAAAUGUGACAUCGGGUGAUAUAAGGUACCUACGAAGAUCAGGUGAAUAACAACGAUAGCCUUUCUGAGCACGAGAAUAACCA